GGGCAGGGGGGUCAACUUCCGUCAGCGCGAUGCGCCCACGGAAGCAAUUCCG
rnacentral:sRNA from 1 species